AUUGAACGCUGGCGGCGUGCCUAACACAUGCAAGUCGAGCGGUAACAGGUGUAGCAAUACAUGCUGACGAGCGGCGAACGGGUGAGUAAUGCUUUGGAAUCUUCCCAGUAGUGGGGAAUAACCAGUCGAAAGAUUGGCUAAUACCGCAUACGUCUGUAAAGGGAAAGCGGGGGCUCGUAAGACCUCGCGCUAUUGGAUGAGCCAAAGUCGGAUUAGCUAGNGGUGGGGUAAUGGCCUACCAAGGCGACAAUCCGUAGCUGGUCUGAGAGGACGACCAGCCACACCGGAACUGAGACACGGUCCGGACUCCUACGGGAGGCAGCAGUGGGGAAUAUUGGACAAUGGGGGAAACCCUGAUCCAGCGACGCCGCGUGUGUGAAGAAGGCCU
rnacentral:rRNA from 1 species